UUUGUACUUUUCAAGAGCCAUUCAUGAGAAUAUUAUAAAUUUGGUCCACCAACAACAACUAAGGAUAAUAAGAAAAAGGUAUGUGACUACUGCUGAAAUUUGGAUUUGGAGAAUUAAACCUCCUUUUUCCUUAAAUAACCUCCAGUAUUCUGCUGACUGAUUGGAAUCAAUAGCAAUUAAUUUUAUUUUGGAUUUUCUUUUUCAUGUAUUCAUUUCUUGGGGAUAUGUAUAUAUGCUCCUUGCAGGAGGAAAUCGAAUCAGAACUCAGUCCUUCCAUGGAGAAAGGAAGAAAAGUUUUUUUUUUUCAUUUAUAUUAUUAUUGAAUAUUCUUGAGUUUGGUCAUUGUAUUUUCAACUUUUAAAGUGAAUAAUCUUCAUCAUGAUGUAUUUCCCCCUUGUUUUAUGUACUGCCUUAUGUCUCUAGAAAAAAGUAGUUGGGUACUAGUACUGAUAUAUACUAUAUAUUCUGUGGUGGUUAUAUCACUACGUUCUUUCAAGUAUAUCACAGUAGAAAGGCACAUGGCACCUCAGAAUAUACUUUGUAUCUGUAUGAAUUGAUAGGAAAUUGUGGAAACUGUCUGCUAGGCUAUCGUUUGAUAUGCAAUUUUCUUUCCCUGUCGCAUCCAGCAAAUACCUUUCAUGUGUAAGAAUUUUUUGGUUAAAAUUGGUAGAAAAAUUCAAGGUUUACUUUUACUUGGACAUGCUUUAUUAAGGAUUUGAGUGAAAGAAGACUAACUUAAGUAAGAAAAAUAUGAUGAUUAGUUUCUGAUUCUGUUUACUUGAGUUUUAGCAGCACGUGGUUCUAAGAGAAAGCCCCAAAGUUUCAAGGAUGAAGAUCACUAUAUAAGUUCAAACCAAAAAAUCAAGUAAGCUUCUAUCUGAAUUACAUAGUUCAUCAUACAAAUAUACACUAUAAUCAUGGUGGUUAUGAUUCUGAAAAAAAAAAAACAUUGCUACUAAUGUUGCUAUGAUUCUCAGCAGUAAAAGCCAUUGAGAUUGACCUUGCAAUAAAAGCCAAUGAAGACUUUGCUUCGAAAAGGCAGCAGUUCUCUUUAUUAUGCUAUUUGGGUGAUUUUAUUGUAAACCAUUUCUAAAGUAAUUGAACUGACUUGUAUAUGUGGAUGUAACAUGAAGAAAUACAAUAAGUAGUAUAGAGGUCAUAAAUUGAGUGGCCUGUGGACUUGUUAGGUUGUUAUCUUACCGUUCAUAGAGGGUAUAAUAAAGUCUUGUUGAUAUAAUUUUUCAUUGAUGUCUGUUUUAGUUUGGGUAUUUGUGAUUUAUUCUUUAGUAGCAUCCUGUUUUUUUAUCUUCCUAAGCUUUGGUAUAUUUGGAUUUAAUAUAUGGUUUGAUUUACAAAUUAUGUAUUAAAUAUUAUUACACAAUUUAAUGUUUAAAAUGGAUUUUAUUAUGUUAGUUUAAUUGAAUAUGUUCAUUACAUAUUAUAUUGAUUAUAAAUUGAUUGAUGAGAUUAUAAUACAGGAAAUUAAUUGUAAAUUGAAUGGAUAUUUCAAAUGUAAUAAUGAAUUAUUUAUUUUACUAAACAAGU
rnacentral:lncRNA from 1 species